rnacentral:lncRNA from 1 species
AUGCUGAGAAAUCCAGUCCAGGGUGGUGAAAGACAGGAAUCAGAACUCAGAGAAGCAUCCACCUUCCAAGAAAAUCAUUGCUUACUUUGCUGGAGGAGGCGCAUUCCCAUUUGGCACUUGGCUCAACUGGCCAUGAAUUUCCCUGCAGGUUUGUCCUAAUUGUGUCUCAGACACUGGACUUUGUGGCGGGAUCUUUCAGUCUUUAUUCCGAAGCUACUGGCACUCUCCUGCUUCUCUAUUACUUUUCAUCAAACCAGCCUCCUGUGCAUAAACCCCUGAAGCCUACCUAGAGAAUGAACUUUGUACUUUCCGAAGCUCCAUGAGUUACACUGAUUGGAGCUUCAUAACGACAGCUGGAGUUUAGGUAGACUAUAUAUUAUUUUCCUUGUAAGAAAAUAAACAAUAGAAAGAGAAAGGGACUUGCUCCAAGUAACAUACCCAGUGAACAGGAAACACUGGCCAGGAGGGCUGUGGUGCUCUGCCAGGCUAGGAGGAGUUCUACUCCAGCACUGCACUGCCUCUCAAUCCACCUAGAGACAGUAAAUCCCAAUAAAGUCUGUGCAGAAAAGACAUAUGAGAAUAGCACUCUCAGAUCUAAAGCCUACCACUGGUGUGGUGCUUCUUUCCAAAAAUUUUAAAUAGCUUUUCAUUACACCUCAUGUAACACAGCACAAUAAUGGGCUUUUAGUCUUACUUCAAAAGUUAGACAACUCUGGGGGAGAGGAGGGUUUGGGAAACAGGGCCUGUAGGAUAGCUUAGAAAGACUGGAACUAUUUAGCUAGGAGAAGGGAAGGUGAUGGGUAACUUAAUAAUAAUCUUCAAGGAUUAUUAAAAGACCAGCUGUUAGCCAUUUCCACCCGGGUAGUAGGGAGGAAAUUGCAGUAGUGAGAAUUUAGUUACAACAUUACGAAGAAACUUUUUUUUUUCCCCUUUAGCUGUAAGGUCUAUUAGACACCAAAACAUGAUAGUAAGCAAAAUUGUGGAUUUUUUCCCCUGGGAAUAUCCCAGGAUAGCGUAUAUACGCUUUCCAGUAGUUCCCUAGCAGUACUUCUUGGACCAUUAAGAUCAACGUGCUUGGAGCAUCCCUUACAAAUACAGAUUCCUGGGACACGCUUCAGACCUCCCGAGUCACAAUCUCUGGGGAUGGGAAAAGGACUCAAUAUAUUUUAACAAGGCCCCAGGUGAGUCCUGUGCACAGCUGAGUCGGAAAAAUCCUUGUGUAUAUAAAACCAGUAAAAAUCUAACACAGCACAAAUACAUUGCGUACCCACUUGGUGAUCCUACCACUACUGUUAGCCUCAGGGAAUAAAUAAAAGAAAGCAAUAUAAAUUUAGUCCUUGUGGAGCUUUCAGGAAAAUAAUUAAAGACUAAUGACGAAUUACGGGAACUGUUUUUUGCCUUUCACAUAGUGUGAUUUGGGGAGAGUUUCUGAAUUCCUUUGGCCUGAGGAAGAGUUUAACUAAAGAGUUAAACGGAGGAGUUGCAUAAAAUGGUUGCAUAAGUUCCUGUGAAACUUUAAAAUAAUACUAUGCAGAAUAAAGCCUAUUUUCCAAAAAUAACUAAAUGCUAAUUAAAGAGAAUGAAAGGAACUACCAAGAGGGAGACUAAUUUCUAUGGACAGUAGCUCCUAGAGAAUGUCUCAGGGUGAACAUGAGACAAACUUGCCUUUGAAGGAUGAGCGUGAUAGAAAUAUAUGUUCACAUGCAUAUGUGGAGAGGAGGAUCCAGGGUUUUCAAUACUAUUCUGUACCAUGUAUACACCUUACACCCCAUUUGAUAUCUAUAAAAGCUUGUGUUUUAUAAGUAGGGACAUUUUUUAAGAAGAUUUUGUCUUCACUUAAAUAGAUGCUUUAUAAAUAUUACCUGAUGGAACAAUCACUAUUACAUCAUUUUCCAAGUGGCAUAAUAGAGCUUUCUCUUUCCCCCCAAAAUUUCUAAGUUUGCCUGGUAUGGGGACAGACAGAAAGGAAGAACAAAAGGCAGGGGAGGAAAGAAAGGCAAGUGGGAAGGAGGAAAAGCAAGCUAUGGAUGUAGAAAUUAAACAGAGAGUAGAGGAUGCUGAAAACCUGAGUCUAGUUUGGGUAAGAAGUUGAGUGCUCAGUUGUUUUUCAUGGUUGUUGUUAAUAUAAUUGGAUGUGCUCUUUGAUUGGAGAGUGACAAGAAGGUGGUACAUGUGGAUUUCAAUGACGCAUUUUUUUAAAGGACAUCUGGACUUAAAUAUGGGAAUAUGUGUUAUAUUAAUAUAGUAGCUUCAGUUUUCCUAACCUGUUGAACAUUUUCUCAUUAAGUAGGACUCACAAAUGGCUCUUGUUUGUUAAUUUGUUAUCUGUUCAUAGGAGGAGAGCAAUUUCUCAGCUUCUAAUGGGCUUGGGUCUCAUAGAUUUCUGUCUAAGUCUUCAUGGGAAAAUGUGAUGAGGUGACCAAAUCAUAUUCAUCUGUGUGUGGGCGACACACUUUCACAAGGUUCCCAGUAGUCAAGAGCUUGGACUUAAUUAAGGACCAGAUAAACAUACAUUCAAAUCUUUGUUCUGCCUAAAGAUCUGUGUAACUCUGAGUAAAUAUUAUUUGCCUUACUGAGAGUCCUUUGCCUCAGGUAUAAAAUCAGGAUGUCUCUAGGUGGACUCAAUGAAAUGCAUAUUUAACAUUUCUUUGAUCAAGUAUAUCUUAUGAGAUGUAACCAUAAAGCAAUGUACAAUCCAUUCUAGUCCAUUGGGUGCUUCCUUGUUCUUAGAUAGGCACUUUAUCUACUCUGGCCACCAAAGAAAACAUUUUAAGGUAACUAAAUUAUAAAACUCUAUAUCAAUUUAAGAACAAACAUGCCCUGUCCCAAACAAUCCUCACAACCUAGAACUUGAUAUAAAAUUAAAGCUUCUCCCCCCAUUCCCACCUUUAGGGAUAUUUUGGGCUCACACCUGUGGAAGCCAAAGGGUACAUGGAUAGUGUCUGCUCCAUUCCCUUCAUUUUGUCUUCCAAACACCCUGUGAUCUAUGAUCAGAACAAGGAUUGGAAGGGAGGAAUGACAGCAAGCGAGAAAGUUCCUCCUUGGCUGGCACUGGAUGGAGAUGAGAUUCAGUGCUCUUUGCGCAUGAAUGAUGUUUCAUGCUAUCCAUUCCCACUAUAGUUCUUCUGGCACUACCAUCCCACUCAACUCCGAGUCUCUCUCGCCUGGAUUUUUGUGACGUGUCUCUAUACCAUCUUACUAUUUGCUACUCAGCCCACAGUCUUCAGCUAUCCUGUGGUCUUCAUGCCCAUUCAUGUGAACCUCUUACACCAUUCUAGACAACUCAAAAUCCGAGUUUUUAUUGCCUGGCCUGUUUAUGGUUUAGGGUAAAGGCCAUAUAUCCUUUGCUCUACCAAACAGGGAGCAUGGUUAUUUCCAAAGCCACAGUUGUCUACUCUAAGAGUACAGGUCAGUUUAUCCAGGUUUUUGACAUUUAUAUUUCCCAGAAGAAUAUUCAAUAAGCUCUUCAAAUGGUUUCCCUAGAGUUGCAUGUCUUGAUGUGAAGUGACCAGGGGAGCCUUUCUCAGUUGUACCCUGGGAAGAGUGUAAGACUUAAGGCAUAUGCAGCACUAUUUCCAAAGUUCUUUCUUCACUCUCCAACUGAUGGCUGUGUUAUACCCAUAAUGAAAGGGUUGAAAAGCUGUCAGGUGACUAUCCACUAUUUUGAAAUGUUUGCUUCUUGGUCUAGAAUCUCAUUUUAGAUAUGCCUCCAAUCAAAAUUUCCAUUUUAACAUCCUAUUAGGAGUAUAAAACUGGUGAUACAGUACUUGAUCAUUUUGUUAGAAAGGACAGUGUUCACAAUAGUGCUGAAAUAGUUAUAAUUGCAUCCUAUUAUGCUUAGAGAAACACACCCAUAUAUGUGAUGGCACAUUUUAAGAGUGGCAUUGGCAAACAGGUAUUUCCAAGAGGAAGUUCAGCAAGAAUAAAGUCCAUAGAGAUGUCAGAUUUAUUUUGUUUGAGAUGUCAUGGUGGUUAUCCAUGGGACACCACGGUGUCAUGGGGGGACGGAUUCCUUUAAAACCAGGUCACACGACAUGAAACAAACAUACUGGCAUCCAAAAGUUUGUUAUAAACUAUAAAUACGAUUACUUUAAAAUCCUGAUGUUCAGCAUGAGAAUAUUGAGGGAUUCAUCUCUACUUUUUUUCUAUCAAAAACUAUUCAAGGUGUCUCCGUUUUAUGAAGAAAUUUUAGUAAAAUCAAGCUUUCCUUCUCUCUUUAUUCCUUCCGCCCUCCCUCCCUUCCUCUAUCCCUCCUUCCCUUCCGUGCUCCCUUCUAUUUUCCUGCACCCAUUCCUUCCUAGAUCACUUAAGGCAAAAGCCAAUGAUGAGAUGGAUCAAGAUUUGUAACCUCAGGGAAGAAGGUCAAUGCCUAACAGUUGUAUUGGAGCCUGAAUGGGUGAGGAGGGUGUUUGGGGGAAAGUGGCUGGUGGCAGUAUCUUUGUAUGCUGAAGUAGUUAUAUACAUACAUAUGCUAUGUCUGUGCCCUGAGAAGGCACAGGGACAGUGACAUCUCACAACAAUGAACACAUCUGACGUACAGAUCUGUGUCUCCAAAACAUCCUCCAGUAAAAGGAUCCUUAGAGAAAUGCCUGACUUCAGGGUUGUGAGAGCUAAAGUUCAAGAUGAGCCUGGCACAGCUUGGUGCAUCAGAAAGAAUGCAAAUGUAAAGCAUAAUGUGGACCCACACAAAGGGCACAGAAACCAGCCAGAAGGACUUCCUAUUGGAAUAAGUUAGACAUCCAAUUAAGUUAGAAAUUGUGAUGGAUUAUAACCAACUGAAUGAAAUAGGCACCCAUGAGUCAACUCUAAUAUACACAAAUAAAUAAAUGAAAAGAAUUGAGUACUUCUUGUUUUCUAGAAUGCCACCUAAUAAAUGGAAAAGGAACAAUAGUGAUAGAAAAUCAACAUUUAGUAACCAUAGCAAUUAAUUUCUCCAACUAACAUUAAUGGUGCUGAAACUAGUUGGUCAGAGUUUGAUAAGGAAUAGAAUAUUUGCCUAGAAAAAUAACUCCUUACAUAAUACUUAUUAAUUAUAGAAGUAACUGUGCAGUGGAGAAUCCUAUCAGACACAACCUCAAUCAGGUAAUCAAAGUCAAUACUACUAGUAGUGGGACACACUGAAAUUGUGUAAAACUUGAUAGGAUACAAUGAGAAAAGCAGAGAAUCUCCAUUUUUAGUUUUUUUUUCCCAAAAAUCUAGAAUCUAAACCCAAUCAUGAAGAAAUCUCAAAUAUCCACAUUAAAUGACAGUCUACAAACUAAUUGGCCUGUGAUAUGAAAAAGUGUCCAAGUCAUUAAAGACAAGGAUGGCUGAGAAACCAGUCCUGAUUGAAGGAUACUAAAAUUAUACGACAAUUAAAUGUGACAUGUGAUUCUGGAAUGGACCUUUUUGCUCUAAAGGACAUUUACAGAAAUUAAAGAUACUUGGAAAGGGUUUGUGAAGUUAGGUGUUAGUAAUACAUCAGUAUUAAUUUCUUAAUUUUGGAGAUUGUACUGUGGUGACACUGGAGAAGGUUCAUGUUCAUAGGACUUAUCUCCUGAAGUGUUCAGGCGAACUGUUCACAACUUAGUCUCAAGUGUUUCAGGGAUUUAAACAAAAGAAUCUUUCUACUAUUGCUGCAAAUUUCUACAAGUUUGAAAUUAUUACAAAAAUGUUUCUAAUAGAGGAAAAGUUACACUGAUAGGUGCUUUCUCUAGUACUAUCUAUUGCUUAUUGUUCCAAGUCUGCUAGAACAUGGCCUGAUAGCAUCUAGACACAGGAAGGGGGCAGUAAGCUUUCAGAUUAUCCGUGUGCACAAGGGCAUUUUUAUACAUAGGAUACUUUGGAAAUUUGCAUGAUUUUAUGUAAAUAAACAUUAUUAAGCCAUACCAAAUUGUAUUGAGUGUACCAGGCAUUUCAUAAAGAGGGAAAAAAGUCAUUAAGGAUACCUAAAGAGUAUUGAAAAUGAGGUUAUGGUCACACCUUCAAAUAUGUAAAAUACUUUUGGAUGGAAGAGUGCUUAUAUUUAUUCCUAUAGGCAUAGAAAAUAAACCAACUGAUGGGAGAUUGAGGUUUCUGAUUCUGAUUCAAGAAGAGAUGACCUUAUAAUGAACACUGCUGAAGAAAGGCACUGCCUUGUGAAGUAAUGAGUUCCCCAUAGCAAGAUCUGAUCAAGCCAAGUCUGAGUGAUGACCUGUUAAAGACAUGACAGAACAAGUAAAUGAUGGCAUGGAAAAGGUAAGUUGCCUGAUUUCUAAAUUCUCCUCAAACUGAAAUACUUAACAUCCAGGAUUCCUUGAGCAAUGGAAGGUGGAAUUAAUUAGGUCCACCAGACUGGUUUUUAGAUUCAACUCAAGGAGGUGGAGU